GUUUAAAUUCGGGCCUUUAAGGUGUCCGUGAGAUUUGGCACAUCCUGAACUUCCUAGACAUUGACAAACUCUGGCUAAAAGAAAUAACUUUGGGAAAGAUAUUAUUCCCUGUAUAUUCUAUUCUCUCUGACAACGGUUGAUAACAAGUAAAAGGACCAAACUAGCAGUCAUAUCUCCAAUCAUUAAAGUGGUACAGGAAGUUGAAAAAAAAUUGAUG
rnacentral:misc_RNA from 1 species